AUGGACAUGGAUGAACUUUUCAUUUUGGUGCUGUUUUCUCCUUUAAGUGUCCUGUCUCAGACAUUACAGGAGUCAGGUCCAGGAUCAGUGAAGCAUUCAGAACAACUGAAACUGACCUGCAUAGUGUCUGGGUUUGAGUUAUCCAGCGCUUCUUUUAACUGGGUGAGACAACUUGCAGGGAAAGGACUCGAUUGGAUUGGAGUAAUAUGGUAUGAUGGAAGCACAACUAUUGGUGCUUCAUUCAAUAACAGAGUCACAAUCACUAAAGAUAAUGCACAAAAACAAGUUUACUUCCAAAUGAACGAUAUGGGAGUUGAAGAAACUGGCAAAUAUUACUGUGCGAGACACACAGUGACAGCAAUGAAUGAGCAACUCAGACAAUAUCCUGCAUCUGUAUAG